AGACUACAGUAGACUACAGUACAGUAGACUACAGCAGAGUCCUUGGACCAGACCAGGAGUACAGUACAGUAGACUACAGCAGAGUCCUUGGACCAGACCAGGAGUAGACUACAGUAGACUACAGUACAGUAGACUACAGCAGAGUCCUUGGACCAGACCAGGAGUAGAGUACAGUAGACUACAGUACAGUAGACUACAGUAGAGUCCUUGGACCAGACCAGGAGUAGACUACAGUAGACUACAGUACAGUAGACUACAGUAGAGUCCUUGGACCAGACCAUGAGUAGACUACAGUAGACUACAGUACAGUAGACUACAGUAGAGUCCAGUAUACUACAGUAGAGUACGAUAGACUACAGUACAGUAGACUACAGUAGACUACAGUACAGUAGACUACAGUAGAGUCCAGUAUACUACAGUAGAGUACGAUAGACUACAGUACAGUAGACUACAGUAGACUGCAGUACAGUAGACUACAGUAGAGUACGAUAGACUACAGUACAGUAGACUACAGUAGACUACAGUAGAGUCCAGUAUACUACAGUAGAGUAUGAUAGACUACAGUACAGUAGACUGCAGUACAGUAGACUACAGUACAGUAGACUACAAUAGACUACAGUACAGUAGACUACAGUAGACUGCAGUAGAGUCCAGUAUACUACAGUAGAGUACGAUACACUACAGUACAGUAGACUACAGUAGACGACAGUACAGUAGACUACAUUAGACUACAGUAAACUACAGUAGAGUACAGUUAGGUACAGUAAUGACCUGUGAAAAAUAGGCAAAGUAAUGGUGAACUUAAUUGCUUUUAUUUGGCCCUGUAGCUGAGGUCUAUCUACCUGUAGUUGAGGUGUGUCUACCUGUAGCUGAGGUCAAUCUACCUGUAGAUGAGGUCUAUCUACCUGUAGCUGAGGUGUGUCUACCUGUAGCUGAGGUCUAUCUACCUGUAGAUGAGGUGUGUCUACCUGUAGAUGUAGUCUAUCUACCUAUAGAUGAGGUGUAUCUACCUGUAGCUGAGGUCAAUCUACCUGUAGCUGAGGUCUAUCUACCUGUAGAUGAGGUGUAUCUACCUGUAGCUAAGGUGUAUCUACCUGUAGAUGAGGUGUGUCUACCUGUAGCUGAGGUCAAUCUACCUGUAGCUGAGGUGUAUCUACCUGUAGCUGAGGUGUAUCCAGGUUAGAUCAGACUGAAGCAGGCUAACUGGACCACACCAGACUGCACAUCUCUGCUGGAGGAAAGCCUCUCUGCUGAGAGUGGUGGACAUAUGAAUGUGAAUACUGGAGGCAUCAUUAAAAAACGCCACCCUAUUCCCUAUAUAGUGCACUACUUUUGACCAGAGCCCUAUGGAACCCUAUUCCCUAUAUAGUGCACUACUUUUGACCAGAGCCCUAUGGAACCCUAUUCCCUAUAUAGUGCACUACUUUUGACCAGAGCCCUAUGGAACCCUAUUCCCUAUAUAGUGCACUACUUUUGACCAGAGCCUUAUGGAACCCUAUUCCCUAUAUAGUGCACUACUUUUGACCAGAGCCAUAUUCCCUAAGGGCCCUGGUCAAAUGUAGGCCACUGUAAACGAAUAGGUUGGCGUUUAGGACGCAGGCCCUGUCUGCCUGUCAGGCUCCUGUAAUGAUGGGCUGUCGAUAAUGGGAAUAACAGUGGAUCUGCGUGUUAGCCCUGAUCUGACCUCUGACCCUGAUCUCUUUAACUAAAUUCAAACGCUUUCUGCUUUUGGCAACAGAAGAGGAGAGCUUAGUUUUGGUGUCCUCUUGGCCCUUCUGGGUUAGAUCACUCUCCACUGUCCUCUCCUCCUGUCCUUGAUACUGUCCCUCUGCCCUGUUCUCUCCUCCUGUCCUCUCCUCCUGUCCUUGAUACUGUCCCUCUGCCCUGUUCUCUCCUCCUGUCCUCUCCUCCUGUCCUUGAUACUGUCCCUCUGCCCUGUUCUCUCCUCCUGUCCUCUCCUCCUGUCCUUGAUACUGUCCCUCUGCCCUGUUCUCUCCUCCUGUCCUCUCCUCCUGUCCUUGAUACUGUCCCUCUGCCCUGUUCUCUCCUCCUGUCCUGUCCUCUCGUCCUGAGCAGAGUUAAAUGUCUCUACUCUCUUUAGCUUUGUAGUUUUACAGAUCAGCCAUGUAUCCAUCUGGGAUCAAACCAAAAAAAGAGAGAUAAUAAAGCGACAUGUUAUUUACACCUGGCAUGAGAUGACACUGAGUUGUGCUUCCCUUGGAAGUGCUGUGUCCUCAGAGAACGGGAGAAGGACCCGGUGUGAAUUAUUUCAUAGAACUAGAAUGAGAAAUAGAAACAAUUCCUUAUAAUUCUAUGGGUUCUGUGGAUUUCAGGUCCAGGCCAGGUGCUGUGUGUCUGUCUGUCUGUCGGUCUGUCUGGUGCUGCCGUGGUGUAGCCUUAACAUUCCAAGGAGGGUCAUGUGACCUCCUGAGUAGCAUUAUGGGUAAUUAUUAGCACUGUGUCUGUGUCAUCCAACCUCAGCCGAAGUGAUGUCUCGUAAUCUCCAGGGGAAAAGUAAAAACAAAACAAACAUGAUUUAGUUUAAGUUUAUUACAACGCAAGGCAAGAGAUGGUGUUACUUAACAGUUACUGUACCUUAUGUAAAACAACUGCAAACCCUUCCAAAAAAAAAAAGAAAAAGAUUUUGAAGUUUACAGUCUUAACAGAAACCAACUAUUCAGGUCUCUAUAUAUCUUAAAGGCUUUUUUGGAAGAAGAAGAAGAAAAGAAACAACUUAUUUUUGGUAAUUUGUUAUUUUUUAUGAAAGAGAAAAACGAAUCUGAAACCUCACUGGGUUUUUGUACCACUAUAAUCAUACAAGAAAUCAUGAGAGAGCUAAACAUCAUAUUUACUCUGUAUCCACUUCAGUUGUUAUUACGUGCCUUCUAAUCUAAUGUUUUAGACAGCGUCUGAAAUGGCUCCCUAGCCCCUAUGUGGUACACCCUUACUACUUUACAGUAGUGCACUAUUAGAGAAUAAGGGUGCAAUUUCAGACACAGACAAUAUCUUAUGUACUAUCUAGUGGGAUUGGUGAGAGGGUUGAUUUAAUUCACUUGUUUGUUUUUUUCAUGUAGAGAAAUGUAGACGUGUUUCUUCAUGAGGGGGACGGGUCCAUUGUAUUAUAUGGUUUCUGAUGUGGAAGUUAAUGCUUGGUUCUUUGAUUGCACUUCUUAAGAGAAAACUGAAAUAACACAGUGUGUACUGUGGGCCUCUCCAUCCCUCUGUGUGUGUGUGUGUGUGUACUGUGGGCCUCUCCAUCCCUCUGUGUGUGUGUGUAGUGUGUGUGUGUAUGUGUGUAGUGUGUGUAUGUGUGUGUGUGUGUGUGUAGUGUGUGUGUGUGUGUAUGUGUGUAGUGUGUUGGUGUGUGUGUAGUGUAGUGGUGUGUGUGUAGUGUAGUGGUUGUGUAUGUGUGGUGUGUGUGUAGUGUGUUUGUGUAGUGUGUGUGUGUAGUGUGUGUGUGUAGUGUGUGUGUGUGUGUGUGUGUGUAGUGUGUGUGUGUGUGUGUGUGUGUGUGUGUAUGUGUGUAGUGUGUGUGUGUGUGUGUGUAGUGUGUGUAGUGUGUGUGUGUAAAAUGUUUGACUCCGUAUUCAUUCUUCUUCACUUAUUUGUGACUGAUGAUCUGUUGUUACUGGCGUCACAUCCCCAUCUUCUAGACCGUUCUACAGCACCAUUAACAGAACUAAUGCCUUUUGAUGCAGAAUGUAGCUCAGGUCUAAAACAUGUAACACAAUCUAAGUCAAUACUGACUGAGUUCUGUUUAGCAAAUCUGAUGAGGACAAUAAAAAUAAUUAAUUUUUAUUUCUAAAGUAACCUACCCAAACCCUGUGUAUAAAUGUUAUUCCUCUGAUGUUAAGGCCCACAACACCCACUUAGGUCAUUUCAGGUUUUCCUUCAUUUAGCUAUUUUUGAGUGAAGAUGUAAGAGAACCUCCCAUCUGUGUGUUUUUGAGUUGUAAUCUUUAUUUGACUUGUUUCUCAUAUUAUUCAUGUUAGGGUAUUUUGGUUGCCUGCUUUUUGAUCCGUACUGAUAUCUGUAGUGCAUUUUUUUUCUCUCUUUUAAAGGUGAACUGGUUGUCUGUCACUCUGCUUUUCAUAACAACAGGUGUUUGAGUCUGCAGAAAGCCCUGAGAAUGUGUGUCUGAAAUACCACCCUCUUCCCUAUAUAAUGCACUACUUUUUUUUUUUUACGGCGCCACAGGAGUCCCCCCUGGCACUGACCUCGACCCCAAGUUUUUUGGGUGCAUCAAAAGUAGUGCCCGGUAUAGGGAAUAGGGCCCAAUAAUGCUGUGGUAUCUGAGGGCUGGUUCAGACCGUGAACCUCGUAUAACCCACCAUACUGGUUAUUGAUGCUGCGCUUCAUGUAACACCCUGGACCAGAGCUAGUCUCCGCUGAGCUGCCUUGGUCGUGGUCUUCAUCAUACUCCUAUUUCUGUGGAUCGACUCUCUCUGUCAUUUAAAACAUUUUCAUUUGUGAACAGGAAGAAAGCAGGAUGACUGUAAAACCUUCUGUGUCAUCAUGAAAGCUGAUCAUUCUAGAAUGUCUGAAUGUUCUAGGUCUCUGAAUGUUAUAGAACGUCUAAACGUUUCUAGGUCUCCCAAAUGGCACCCUAUUCCCUACAUAGUGCACUACUUUUGAUCAGAGCCUACGGUCCCUGUAUAGGGAAUAGGGUUGCAUUUGGGACGCUUCCACAGUCAUGCCUUAACUCAGGCAGCAUAGUUCAGCCAUGAUGACAGACUUUUCUUUUCAAUUGUGAUUAACAUUUUACUUUUACAUUAUCAACUGUUUUUUAUACUGAAGAGUCACAAACAACAGAAACAAACAGGACCAAAGUUGAUGUGCCUUUCAUUGAUCUGUUUUUCAUGCCCUAGUUCCCUCAUCCAUCACUAUUGUUUAAAUUAAAGACUGUCAUCCCCUGGUUCCCUCAUCCAUCACUAUUGUUUAAAUUAAAGACUGUCAUCCCCUGGUUCCCUCAUCCAUCACUAUUGUUUAAAUUAAAGACUGUCAUCCCCUGGUUCCCUCAUCCAUCACUAUUGUUUAAAUUAAAGACUGUCAUCCCCUGGUUCCCUCAUCCAUCACUAUUGUUUAAAUUAAAGACUGUCAUCCCUUGGUUCCCUCAUCCAUCACUAUUGUUUAAAUUAAAGAC
ensembl:lncRNA